GGAAAAUCCGUGGAUUUUCAUCCUGCACUCGUCUAUACAAAGCUCUUUCGGCGAGUUUCUUCAAGUAGACAUGACAAGGUUACGUAAGAAAAAACCCUUUGCAGAGAAGCAGUAUAAGUGUUGAACAUAUAGCACUGAUCUUACAGGCAGAAAAUACUAUAUAAGGGCACAAAUCUGAAAUUGAUUAUGCGGUGAAAAGGAGCAGUUGAACAUGUGGCAUCUCUGUAACAUGGAUGAUUACUGUUCAAAGACACAUGGUGUGUAAAUAAGAGAGAAGCCACUAAUAAACAUAUUUAUGAAAUCCUUGUACUUGUGAACCAAGAUAUAAAAUACUUACCGGUAUAAUGUCACAGGAAAUGAACAAUGAAGCGAACGCAUUCAGGUGUGGAAUAUGUUCCAUUGAUUUUAUGGAUAGCAAGCAUUUACUGAGCCACAUGAAAAAGCACACUAGAGAAAAAUCAUUAGUGUGUGAAACAUGUAAUGCUACUUUUUCCCAAAAAUGUUACUUGCAAAUCCACAUGCGAAUACACACAGGAGAGAAACCAUACAAAUGUGAUAUAUGCGCUGCGACUUUUGCAGAUGGAUCUAAUUUCAGGGAUGAUAAAAUUCCGGAUUAAUCCGGAAUUCCGGAUUUAAGGCCUCACGGAUCGAUUUUGAGAUUAAUGUUAAUCCGUUGAGUUUUUUCUAGGGGGGAGGGGUACAGGGAGCGAAUCGAGCUCAGUUCGAACAAUAUGGGUACGAAAGGUGAGUUUUCCGGAAGCGUAAAGUCGGAAAUUAACGAACCUAUUUACGUCUUGGCAAUCGAGCUAUAUGAUUGGUUAAGAUAGCAUCCGGUGAUUACGGAAAUUACCGAUGGGACUAGAAGACAGUAUCCGGAUGGUCGUAUCCGGAUAUGACAGACGACGAAGACGAAUAAACGGGUAUUGGAAAAUUGGAGAAAAACGACCACCACCAACUUUUAAAAACAUCGAUUCGUCGAUUUAAAGGUUAUGUUGAUGGUUACAAAAGUCAGGGAUGAACAGACACCUCAGCCAGUGCAUCCAGUUAUUCCUGUCAAUGACUGACAAUUUAAUCCAGAGGCCAUGAUACUUGGAUUUAUGGCUGAACAUGCUCCCUGGCACCACAGUAGUGUGUCUUACUUAAGACACUUGCCAAAGAUACAAAAGCUCUCAGCGAAUUAAAACUUCAAAGGUGUACAGCAUCAUACAAGAUGACUUACGGAGUGGCUAGCCAUUUCAAUGAUGAACAUGUGGAGGAGUUAAUGUAUCUCGGUUUUGUUUCAACUAAGACAAGUCAACAAACACAAUGAGAAAACUGUUGCAGCUAUUUUUCUGCUAUAGAGAAAAAAAUAGUGUUGAGACAUUUGGCCUCCUUAAAAAUCACUAGGGCUGAUUCUGAAUCAAUUUUCAUAGAAUUUGAAAGCCUGUUUGAGAGACUUGAACUGCCGUGGGAUAAUCUAGUUUGUGUUCUACUGGACUCAUGUAACACCAUGAGGGGAAAUAAUCUGGCUUAGGGACCAGAAUACGUCAAAGUCCACCAUGUCCACAACAGCUACGCUGCCAAAGCAUUUAAGUCCCGUUUGGAUAUUACUUGGAAUAAUAUAUAUAAUAAUUAAUAACACUAUAUUCUCAUCAAAUGUGCAGAAAAUGGAAUAAAUACUCUUUUUAUGAUACAUAAAAAUUGAAUAAUUAACACUUUUACAAUAAACAUUUGCAAGCAUCAUAAUCGAUAUGUUGUUCAUUAUUAUAAAUCAAACAUCCCACAGUGUAGACUGUUCAUACACAAGCAUUUGAUCAUAGCCAGUUGAGUUUUAUGGGAA